CGAAAACUCAUCAGAAGUAUCAUCCUCGAACCUGAAGGAUAUAUAACACAAUCUGUAAUGUCGUCUGCUUCUCCCUUUAUUGCAUAAAGCUAUUAUAACUAAUAUCAUUACAUUUCAACAAGGGAAAAGACACCAUUUUAUAACCAAGUGUCCAGCCUUAGACUUUUUGUUCAUUUUCUUCUACCUAUCCAUAACUCUUCAGUGUGCAAUGGUGAAAAAAUCUCAAGAUCAAUAGGGUCCAGUAUCAGCCUGCUGGUCAAAGGAGCCCGUUCUGUCUGUUCUGUCGAUCCCAUGGCAGAAGACUGGGAGAAGUUCCUGGGAGGCCCUGAAAGCCUCCUCUGCACGCUCCUUCCCCCAGUUGCUGCUUCCUCUGAGUGC
rnacentral:lncRNA from 1 species